rnacentral:rRNA from 1 species
UGAGGAAUAUUGGACAAUGGAGGCAACUCUGAUCCAGCCAUGCCGCGUGAAGGACUAAGGCCCUAUGGGUCGUAAACUUCUUUUGACGCAGAGCAAUAAGGAUUACGUGUAGUCUGAUGAGAGUAUGCGUCGAAUAAGCAUCGGCUAACUCCGUGCCAGCAGCCGCGGUAAUACGGAGGAUGCAAGCGUUAUCCGGAUUUAUUGGGUUUAAAGGGUGCGUAGGCGGAUGGGUAAGUCAGCGGUGAAAUGUCCCGGCUCAACCGGGGAACUGCCAUUGAUACUGCCUGUCUUGAAUGCGGAUGCCGUGGGAGGAAUGUGUAGUGUAGCGGUGAAAUGCAUAGAUAUUACACAGAACACCGAUUGCGAAGGCAUCUCACGAAUCCGUUAUUGACGCUGAGGCACGAAAGCGUGGGGAUCAAACAGG